AACGAACGCUGGCGGCAGGCUUAACACAUGCAAGUCGAACGGAUGUAGCAAUACAUCAGUGGCAGACGGGUGAGUAACACGUGGGAACCUUCCUCGUUGUACGGGACAACUCAGGGAAACUUGAGCUAAUACCGUAUACGUCCGAGAGGAGAAAGAUUUAUCGCAAUGAGACGGGCCCGCGUCGGAUUAGCUAGUUGGUGGGGUAACGGCCUACCAAGGCGACGAUCCGUAGCUGACUGAGAGGAUGAUCAGCCACACUGGGACUGAGACACGGCCCAGACUCCUACGGGAGGCAGCAGUGGGGAAUCUUGGACAAUGGCGCAAGCCUGAUCCAGCCAUGCCGCGUGAGUGAAGAAGGCCUUAGGGUUGUAAAGCUCUUUUGCCAGGGACGAUAAUGACGGUACCUGGAGAAUAAGCCCCGGCAAACUUCGUGCCAGCAGCCGCCGCGGUAAU
rnacentral:rRNA from 1 species